UCUUGAAGUUUAAAAUUCAUCAAUAAUAACUAAUAAAUAGUGCAUAGAAAACGGGAAAAAAACCGAAAAAAUCUCCAUUUAUUUUUAAUUUGGCCGUUUAAUACCUAUAGUUUUAAAUUUGGAAUAUAAAUA
rnacentral:sRNA from 1 species